UGUAUUCGUUUUCGCUUCUGCAAAAUAUAUAAAAACAGAUCUGAUAGCACUCACUUCCGUCCGUUUCCAUCCCUGCUACUAUCUGGCAUUCGCAUGAGUUUUCACAUCAUUCACGAAGCAGGGCCUACGUGUUGUGGAUGAGGAUGGGGGUCCUAGCUAGGCUUAGCUAGCGCUGGAGGGUGUUUGUUAGCAAUGACGGCAGCAGGAGCACCGUUAGAACCAGUCCGUUGGUAAGAAGGAACUGGAUCGAUCUGUCUGUCCAUUACUAAUGGGAUGGAACGUCCAUCUCCUCCUCUCAAUGCUGGCACGGAUCGCUUGCUCCUUUCGCUCUCUUUUCUUCUUCUUCUUCUUUGUCCGGUGAUAAAUGCGCUCGCAGAUGUGCACUCCACGACCGGUCGACGGCGCUCGCAUGGAGGAAGGAGGGAGAGGAUGACAGACACAGUUUGACUUUGGCAUGCAGUCCACACACACACACACACAUAGCUGUUCUUGUUCGAAAGGGCGGGCAUUCAGACUGAGCAAAAAAUAGCAGUUUGAAAGCGGGGUGCGUACGUAGUGCUUACUUUCUCUUUGGGAAUCAAUAGCGUCACGUCGCGCCGGACGGUGCACCGCUGAGGCGAUGGCGGAUCAGGGGAGGGCAUUCAUGUUACAGCCUGAUCGGACCUUACAAACAAACAAAAUCCCUACUACUACAGUAAGUGUACUAGUGAUAGGAGGGCGAGAAGCAACCCCCUUCCUACGACUGG
rnacentral:lncRNA from 1 species